rnacentral:lncRNA from 1 species
CAUUGUUUCUGCUUUCAUGAAAUCAUAAACCAAAUAAAGAGAUCGCUUUUCAUUGUUGCACUUAGUUGUUUUCUUCAUAUAUUGCUUGCAUCCGAUUGUUACAUCCUGUUCUGCUUAGUUUUAAUCUUCAUAAAGUCAAAAAUAAAAAUAAAAAUAAAACGUGUUGGUAGGAUUGCACAAUUUGGUUUCCAACUGUUUGAUCGACAGGUUAUUUCGGUUUCCAUAUUUGCGAAGAGUUUUCAAAUUAUUUCCUUCCCGGUCGAUCACCUUCUCCAAGUCUUUCCAAUUCUAUUACUACUACAGCUUUUAUUAGUUUCUUUUGCCUAUUCGAAUUUAUAAAAAAAAAAAAAAAAAGGAAAUUUGUAUCUUUUCUUUCUCGCUUUCUUCCUUAUUUACCUAUUGAAAAGCUAAGGCAUCUCUUGUUUAUCUUGCAAGGUACAACUCAGCCGCAUACAUGGGAGAAGCGAGUGAGCAAGCUACCAUGAUGCAGUCCUCAACGCUUUGAGAGAAGAGAUGAGGGUUAUGCGGCAAGACCUUGGGGAAAGGAUGACUAGAGUUGAGCAAAGAC